rnacentral:rRNA from 1 species
AGUGAACGCUGGCGGUAGGCCUAACACAUGCAAGUCGAACGGCAGCACAGUAAGAGCUUGCUCUUACGGGUGGCGAGUGGCGGACGGGUGAGGAAUACAUCGGAAUCUAUUUUUUCGUGGGGGAUAACGUAGGGAAACUUACGCUAAUACCGCAUACGACCUACGGGUGAAAGCAGGGGAUCCUCGGACCUUGCGCGAUUGAAUGAGCCGAUGUCGGAUUAGCUAGUUGGCGGGGUAAAGGCCCACCAAGGCGACGAUCCGUAGCUGGUCUGAGAGGAUGAUCAGCCACACUGGAACUGAGACACGGUCCAGACUCCUACGGGAGGCAGCAGUGGGGAAUAUUGGACAAUGGGCGCAAGCCUGAUCCAGCCAUACCGCGUGGGUGAAGAAGGCCUUCGGGUUGUAAAGCCCUUUUGUUGGGAAAGAAAAGCAGCAGGUUAAUACCCCGCUGUUCUGACGGUACCCAAAGAAUAAGCACCGGCUAACUUCGUG